rnacentral:ncRNA from 1 species
UAUUUGAGGACGGAACGGGCAGCCGUCGCCCCUCUUUGCAGAGGUUAGGAGAUGUGGGAAUGUCACCCCACCAAA